rnacentral:rRNA from 1 species
GAAAAGGGUAGCGCGGCGGUGAUCGAGGUGGACCAGAGGAGGAAAGAGCCCUAGAACGGGCUAGGUGGGUUAACUAGGACGGUUGUGGAGGAACAAAAGGGGUCGGUGUGUUAGUCUAGGUGGAAGAGGUGAGGUGAGGAGGGGAGCUAGGGUGGUUCGAUAACGGGCUCCGGGGCUCAUCCUCACGAGCCUGAGCAGAGGGAUGCGACGGUAAGCGGUGCGGCCGAUGGAACGGGUCACGAGUUCGUGGUGGUGCGGCGGGGAAGGGAAGGGAAGGAAGGGGACGGAAGAAGAGCAAGAGGAGACGAAGGGAGAGGGCGAGAGUAGAGAGAGAGAGCAAAAAUAGUCCUUCUACUGGUACCACGGGUUCGGGACGGGGCAGGUGGAGCGGGACGAUCUAGGGUUGGCCGGCCUUGAGGGGACGCGGAGUUCUGGCUGGGACGCAGCGGGGACGUGGCCACAGCAGACGUAGAGCGCCGCAGCGCGGUCGGCAGAGGGACCACCGAUUGGCGGAGCUGGAGGAGACGUUCCUGUUCAGCCCGAGGAGGAGAGGAAGAAGGGGCUCCUCGAGGGCGCUCUGCGGUCCUUGCUCUAGGGUACGAGCCGAAGCAGAGGAGGCGGGCGGCCGGCGUGGAGUAGAGGAGGGCACGCGGAGGUAGUACGUUGGUCGGCACGGAGGGGCGGCCGCUGCUCGUCGUCGUGGCCGUCCUGAGGGGACGGAGUGGACUUCGACAGCCGAAGGAGGCGCGGGAGCGUGGGACGGCCUGGGGCACGAGCUGGAGCCGAAGGGCACGGACGCGGUAGCACGGAGCAGCAACGGCGGAGAGGCAAGUGUGGCGGCGCGGGUCGAGGGGACGAGCGGUCGCGGUUCAGGGACAGUAGCGACGAGACGAGGGUCUCCUACGAGCGAGCAGGGUCAGCGUAACUGGCGUAGCUUGGUGCUGUGCACUCGUGGGCACCCAGCCGGAGGAGGUGCGGUUCAGGGUCGCGCGGGGAAGCGCUGGACGGGUUGGAGGAAGGGUGGCUUGACCCGGUACCGGGUACGUCCGCAGACAUCGCCGAUGACGGCGAGUAUGGCGCCUCCAAAGACCUGACUUAGUUUCAGACCUCGCCCGGCUUCGCCUCGAACCGGCCAAUUUUUCCGUCAACCUUCUAGUUGUUCAAAACGUGUUUAGAACAAACGUAAAUCACGCUUGCUUAAAAGUCAUACUAUCUUAUACACAGUACUAAACACGGUCCCCACUACUGGCUUCAGCUCCGAGACUUCUUCCAACAACGGUUCGACUCCUUUUCCGUCGGCGUCUCGUCCGAGAAGCACUCUUCGUGCUCCGGUUCCAACACCUUCGAUUCGCUCUCGAGAUUCUCCGGUACUUUUUUACGCUCUGGGAUCUCGUCUCAAAUUGUCUCUUUCUUAGGCUUGAGCGGUCCAGAAUAGUCCGGCACACGCUACGAGCACCCCUUUGGGUUCUGCGGGAUGUUCUCUAGGUUCUCCGCUCCCUCUAGUGCCGCCCCUAUAAACGCCUUGAAGGAGCGUCGUAUAGCCUACGGCGGGUUAAGAUGGCUCGGCUUCUCCCCUUAUGACACCUAUUCGAGAAGACCGGCGUCAUAGACCGUGUUUUAAUAGGCCACGGAAAAUGGCUAGUUGACUUUGUCGACUAGUUUGACGUAUUCCGCCGGCUUGAUCGGUAUUUCCUAAACUAAUAGGCCGAUACUGGGCGGCUCGGCUAAGGUCCGUCGAUGAAACCCGAACACUUCGCUGAACAAUCACGGACGGGAGCUGAACUGCAGUAGUUCGCCAGCCAGACAUAUCUUCCACGUGCUAACCGGAAACGGGCGCGUUUCCACGUGACCCCCUUCUACCUACGACUUUUCGACUACUGGCUCCCUGGCGGUCUCCCUUUCCUCGUGGCGUUCGGGCUUAACAUAAUACUUUCACAGGACUUUCCUAGGACGGAACGCCGCCUCGUUACGUGGUUCCUAUAACAUAAAGGUACUUAUAUCAGUACAACAGGAAACAUUACACACUUGUUCCAGUAAAGAUAAUAAAUAACGGACAAUAUUUUCAAAUGGGAGGACGUGCCGGCAAAAUAUAUAAUUUGGACU